GAUGAACGCUGGCGGCGUACCUAAUACAUGCAAGUCGAGCGAACAGACGAGGAGCUUGCUCCUCUGACGUUAGCGGCGGACGGGUGAGUAACACGUGGAUAACCUACCUAUAAGACUGGGAUAACUUCGGGAAACCGGAGCUAAUACCGGAUAAUAUAUUGAACCGCAUGGUUCAAUAGUGAAAGACGGUUUUGCUGUCACUUAUAGAUGGAUCCGCGCCGCAUUAGCUAGUUGGUAAGGUAACGGCUUACCAAGGCGACGAUGCGUAGCCGACCUGAGAGGGUGAUCGGCCACACUGGAACUGAGACACGGUCCAGACUACUACGGGAGGCAGCAGUAGGGAAUCUUCCGCAAUGGGCGAAAGCCUGACGGAGCAACGCCGCGUGAGUGAUGAAGGUCUUCGGAUCGUAAAACUCUGUUAUUAGGGAAGAACAAAUGUGUAAGUAACUAUGCACGUCUUGACGGUACCUAAUCAGAAAGCCACGGCUAACUACGUG
rnacentral:rRNA from 1 species